rnacentral:lncRNA from 1 species
ACAUCACCAAAUCAACUUAAGGUUGGAGACAAAGUACUACUAGAUGCAGUAGAUCCUCGCAUUACCACUUCUGAACCUAAUGAAGAAAUUCCUCUCACGGUACUCAGUAUUUUCCCAUAUGGUCCAGUCGAGGUAAUUCACUCCAAAUUUGAAACUUUUAAGGUAAAAAAUACUCGUCUUAAACAUAAUAUUGAUAAAGUUGAUAGUAGCGAUGAGGAGUGUAAAUUCCUCGAGCCACCAUGAUCACACACCAGAGAGGUAAGUCAAGCUUAGACUAUAAAUAAGCGCUUCUCAAGAGGC